CGGUAAUACGUAGGUGGCAAGCGUUGUCCGGAAUUAUUGGGCGUAAAGCGCGCGCAGGCGGUCCUUUAAGUCUGAUGUGAAAGCCCACGGCUCAACCGUGGAGGGUCAUUGGAAACUGGGGGACUUGAGUGCAGAAGAGGAAAGUGGAAUUCCAAGUGUAGCGGUGAAAUGCGUAGAGAUUUGGAGGAACACCAGUGGCGAAGGCGACUUUCUGGUCUGUAACUGACGCUGAGGCGCGAAAGCGUGGGGAGCAAACAGGAUU
rnacentral:rRNA from 2 species